rnacentral:rRNA from 1 species
UACGUAGGCAGCAAGCGUUGUUCGGAGUUACUGGGCGUAAAGGGUGCGUAGGCGGCUAUUUAAGUUUGGUGUGAAAUCUCCCGGCUCAACUGGGAGGGUGCGCCGAAUACUGAGUGGCUAGAGUGUGGGAGAGGAAAGUGGAAUUCCUGGUGUAGCGGUGAAAUGCGUAGAUAUCAGGAGGAACACCGGUGGUGUAAACGGCUUUCUGGACCAUAACUGACGCUGAGGCACGAAAGCGUGGGGUAGCAAACAGG